UACGUAGGUGGCAAGCGUUAUCCGGAUUUACUGGGUGUAAAGGGCGUGUAGGCGGGGACGCAAGUCAGAUGUGAAAACCACGGGCUCAACCUGUGGCCUGCAUUUGAAACUGUGUUUCUUGAGUACUGGAGAGGCAGACGGAAUUCCUAGUGUAGCGGUGAAAUGCGUAGAUAUUAGGAGGAACACCAGUGGCGAAGGCGGUCUGCUGGACAGCAACUGACGCUGAGGCGCGAAAGCGUGGGGAGCAAACAGGAUUAGAAACCCUUGUAGUCCGCCUAAUGUGCCAGCCGCCGCGGU
rnacentral:rRNA from 1 species